rnacentral:lncRNA from 1 species
CCGCUCCACUUGACCCAACCCGCUAAAAAUAUAAUAUUGACCCUCUUAAUUUACCUUUAUUUUCCAAAAUUAUUUUCUCUGUUCUCCUUUGCGUUUUUUCUUUUUUUUUAAAAAAAAAAUUUCUCAAUUUCAGCCUCUUCUUCCUUCUUUUAGUUAGGGAUAUCUCAAUUUCUGAUCUCACUAAAUCAUUCUCUCUUGUCUCCGGUUUCUUUUUUAUUUUGGUUAUUGUUCAUUAGCAUUGUUAGCUUUAAAUGAUUUUAAAUGAUGUUGUUAAUGAGAGUCGUCGUAUGAAGGUGAAAGGAUAA